UAUCACAGUGAUGGCUGGCCAGGUUCCCUGACAGAUACAUGCCUCUGUUAUGUGAGUGAUGGGUCAGCCCUGGUGUCUGAGUGAUU
ensembl:snoRNA